rnacentral:rRNA from 1 species
CUCGUAGUUGGAUUUCGGGUGGGUCUCAGCGGUCCGCCUAUGGUGAGUACUGCUGUGGCCUUCCUUACUGUCGGGGACCUGCUUCUGGGCUUCAUUGUCCGGGACAGGGAUUCGGCAUGGUUACUUUGAGUAAAUUAGAGUGUUCAAAGCAGGCUUACGCCGUGAAUACUUUAGCAUGGAAUAACAUGAUAGGACUCUGCCCUAUUCUGUUGGCCUGUAGGAGUGGAGUAAUGAUUAAGAGGAACAGUCGGGGGCAUUCGUAUUUCAUUGUCAGAGGUGAAAUUCUUGGAUUUAUGAAAGACGAACUACUGCGAAAGCAUUUGCCAAGGAUGUUUUCAUUAAUCAAGAACGAAAGUUGGGGGCUCGAAGACGAUUAGAUANNNNCGUAGUCA